UCCCACCUCCUUCUUCAAACUGAUGUCUUUUAGUAGGAAUUAUGAAGACAGCUCAUCUGUAACGAGAUAAUAAAGAUCAGUGGAGUAAUGGCCCAGCAAAUUUCAAAGAAGCAUUUGAAGAGAAAGCAAAGUGACCACAAGAGGGUCACAAGUAUUCAGUUGAUGUCCUAUGACGCCUCGGUAGUGCCGUGUAUCUGAAGCUGUUUGCUUGCCACCGAAGAAAGAUUUAUGUCUUCAGCCAUGCAAAGUGAAAUAGCUGCAUUGUGGAGAAGAAGGCAAAUGUUUGCUUGUUCAAGUUUGGCUCUUAUUCA
rnacentral:lncRNA from 1 species